GAGAGUAUAGCUCAGUGGUAGAGUGUGUGCUUAGCAUGCAUGAGGUCCUGGGUUCAAUCCUCAGUACCUCCA
rnacentral:tRNA from 1 species